GACGAACGCUGGCGGCGUGCCUAAUACAUGCAAGUCGAACGCAGUGGGGACGGGUGAGUAACACGUGGGUAACCUCCCAUCAGAGGGGAUAACACUUGGAAACAGGUGCUAAACCGAUACUGAUGGAUGGACCCGCGGUGCAUUAGCUAGUUGGUGAGGUAACGGCUCACCAAGGCCACGAUGCAUAGCCGACCUGUGAGGUGGAUCGGCCACACUGUGACUGAGACACGGCCCAGACUCCUACGGGAGGCAGCAGUAGGUAAUCUUCGGCAAUGGACGAAAGUCUGACCGAGCAACGCCGCGUGAGUGAAGAAGGUUUUCGGAUCGUAAAACUCUGUUGUUAGAGAAGCGGUAUCUAACCAGAAAGCCACGGCUAACUACGUGCCAGCAGCCGCGGUAAUUC
rnacentral:rRNA from 1 species